GCCAAUUCAAAUUUUCUUCCAACUAAAUGGACUGGGUGUAAGUGGUCAUGCCUUCACAAAGGAUUUGAAGACAUCCAGAAAUUAACCAGAACAAACAGCUGCACUACAAUUAUCCAGUCAAUUGAAAAUAGAACUGGCAGAAUAAAGAGACAGUGCACACCCACCAUUUGUCAAACAGAAUAUGAGACUGCUGCUACUAUUGGCAACAGAAGCGAAGCUGGAAGGUGUGUGCAUGCUACUACUGGGAACAUGACUGAAUUUUUAAAUGAGACAAUAAGAUACCUUCAAAUACUAAAUCAGUAGUAAAUUGAUAAUAUUUAUUAUAUUUAUCAUGUAAAAGCAUAUUUUUUUCUGGAAAACCAUAAAAUUACCACUCAUAUAAAGAAUAAAGUUCUCCCCAAAGUA